rfam:Magnaporthe poae ATCC 64411 mitochondrial scaffold supercont1.206, whole genome shotgun sequence.
CCAGAUAACCCGUUAUCUGAGCUUAUGUGGCAUGCAUUAAGAGUAAUUUUUUUGUGUGAAGCCUACAAAAUCCUGCCUUUGCCCUUUUUUUGAUAAAGGGAGG